UAGAGAGACGCGUUUAGGUCAUAAUAUUUACCAUCCGAUGAAGAAAAUCCUGCUUUUCUGACAAUUCUCUGCAGUCACAAAGUCAAAAUCAUAGACAGCAUAUCUGCAUUCAUUAUCAGGAAGGUUUGCAGUAAAGUCUUCGUAGCUUUCAGCUGGCCAACCGAGUUUCUCCACAAUCACCUCAUUUUUCUUCUCGUCAAUCUUGAACACUAUGAAGCGAUAUGUUCUCUUUGCCUUCAAUUCCAGAAACUUCAGCUUGCAGUCAUCAUCCACAGAAAAUCCAGACGCUGCGUUAGCCUGUUCAUAGGAUGAAACAGAAGAUAGAUGUUAUUCUUACGCAAUUUAUGUCCACAAAACCAACACACACUAGUUUUGAAACAAUAAACAUGUAUUCACUGUCCUACUCGGCCAAAAAAUAAAGCUCAGCAAUUCUAAAGAACACAAUUAAUAAUAUCUAAAAAUAGAUUGAGGAAAAGUGAGUGAGAGAGAGAAGGAACGAAUAAGGGUGAACGAGGGAUACAAAUGUGAAAGGGGUGUACGGAACGACACACAAAAUGAAAACUGAAAACAAUUUUGAAGUUGUUUUCACUUUCAAGUCUUUGUUUUCACAUAAUCUCCUUCAUUUCUCCCGUCACCCCUCCCACCACCUCCCUUCAUCCUUUCCAUUCCUCAUUUCUCCCAUAUACUCUCCCUCUACAUAAGCACAAAAAAUGAAAACUAAAAACUGAAAACAAAAUGGUUAUCAAACGGGGCAUAAAGGUUGCAAGCCUCCUUCCCUCCCAUCCGUCCUCCUCUUUUUCCUCUCCCUCUUUCUCUCAUUCUAGAGGUUCUAUCUCACCUAAUUUCUUAAAAAGUAGUACGUCAUGAAUACAUGAUACAACUUGAAUCCCUUCGAUUUAAGCCUGUACUAUGCAGGUUGGCCUAGAGAUUAUAUAUCUAAACCAAAGACCAGCAAUCUGAAACCGAGAAUGUUCAGCAUAAGGCUACUUGAGGUACGUUUCUUCCUUAGUUUACCUUCAGCCCUAGAUUACAGACUGCCCAUUACCGAUUUCCAUACAGUCCGCACUAGUGCUAUACUUGCAAGAAUAAGAUAAACACAAUUCAGCAUCGCAACAUCCGUAAGUAAUCAGAUUGCAUCACUCAAAUUAGUUCUUAUCUGUGAUCAGCUGGUUGACAUUGUUCCAGUACCGAGCACUUGAAUCCCGGCUCUCGAUCAAUUAACAGAAAACCAAAUGCGGGAGAUUUGACAUUGUGAGAAUCUAAAACAGCUUUCUAAUCAGAUUUAAAUCUCAAUGCAUCCAAAAAUUGACAACCACGUCAACUGUUAGACUAAUGGAAUCGGUGCAACGCAACUCUGUUCAAAUUUCACAAUAAACAAAACAGAUACCAGAAGACCAAAUAUAUAUAAAAAAACCACAAACCCACCACAAAGAACCAACCCAGAACUCAAAAGAUGAGGACUAUAUCUAUAUGUAUGUGAUCAAAGCUAAUACCUUCGUCUACUGACAACUAAAUGACACAAAAAUCAAAACAAAACCCAAAUUCAGAUCCGAUGAUCGAUAACAAUCGAUUGAAACAAGUGCAUCCAAAGCCCAUCGCAGAUGAUAACGAAGCGAUCAGAUCAUAACCCAAAACCCAUUAAACAGCCGAAAUAAGAGAAACAAUAAUAAUUAAAAAAAAAUACAAAAAGCAAUGCGCAGGGAAAGAGAAGCAGCAAAGAGAUACCGACCAUUGCGGUUGCAGAAAAAUCUAUCCCAAAACGAAAAGGAGCUGAGUUGCUGCGACUAUGGCAGAAAAUGGAGGACUGAUUGCUCUCUGGCGUUUGGUGUGCGCUUUGAAUGGCUUUUGCUGCCGAGACGGUGGUGGUUGUUGUGGCUUCUCUUUCACCCACCUUCCCACUCCCCCUCUAAAUAUCAUCAUGGAGGGCAUGUCAUGCGUGAAAACGGCGCAAGGAGAAGGUAGGUCUGUCCUAUCAUGGCUUGACGCGUGUGGAUCAGGGUUGCGAAAAGACUGAUAGGCCCUUGGCUUUUGUGGCGGGUCUUCCGACUUGCCCACCCAGCUGGAAAAUCGAGGCUCCUUUUUAUUGGCGGACUCAAAGUGAAUAAAACUUAAAGAAAACUAAUGAAAAAGGUUUGAAAACUUUGAAUUUUAACGAUAAGGACAAAAUAAAGGGUAAAGUGAAUAGUAACAUGAUUGACUUUUUUAUGUAAAAAUGUGGUUUUUCGUUAAAAUGAAUAGUACCGGGAGCUUUUCGUUAAAGUUCCCUAAAAUUUACCAUUUCAGGGGUAAUUAAUAAUCACUUACGGGUGGGCAUUUUUAAUGGGUCAACUGCAUGCGACAUGGGUUGAGUUAUUAUAGCAUUCUGUUAUAAUGGCUACAUGAGCAACUUGAGGUGAGGGCAUGGGCUUGAUACCACUCAGUCGAGCAAAAGUACUUUCCAUUAUAACAGCAUUCUGACAAUUUAUUCUUAUCUAUUAUAGAAAACAUUUAUCAUCUUAUAGUAAAUGUUUUCUAUAAUUGUUGAGGCCUCCAGAAGCACUUUUAAUUGUAAUCUGUCAUUCCAUGUUGGCUCAUGAAUUGCAUUGCUGCAUUUUUGCAUUGAUUUGGAUGAAAUGUGUAAAAAAACACAAAAAACCCCCAAAAAAAAAACAGUAACGGGUGAAAUGGGUGAUCCGUUAACUUAACGGGUUGGAUUUGGGUGACCCAUUAACUUAACGGGUUGGAUUUGGAUAACCCGUUAGCUUAACGGAUCAAGUUAAAUCCGACUCAAACCUAAUAAAUCCGACCCGUUUACAGGAUUAGUUAGUAGUCCAAGUUCCAACAGACUUGGUGGAGCCACCGAAUCGCCCUCCAUCGUUUGGGCCGGUGGAGAGGUUUUGGGCACUUUGGCAGCCUUUCUCUCCCCGCUGGAACUGCUCGAACGAGUCGUAAGAAACACAAAUGCUUUCAUAUUUUGUGUAUUUUGCGUGCAAAGCCUCAUUAAUUCACAGCCUACUCGUACUCAUCCUCCACCGUUAAAUCAUAACAGGCACACAAAAGAAUGAUUAGCUUCUAGAUGUAACUAUAAGGACACACUCAUUGCAUAAGUUCUUUCAUCUCCGUCCACAAACCGAGAUCGCAGGACUCGUUCUAGUCGAAGAAAACACAGUAAUGUAAAUUUCAAACCGAGUAUUACAAUGUAGUCAGGUUCACAACCCCACACACUAUUAACAUUCCACUUGAAAGUAAAACAGAGCUUGAGAAAAAUGGCCAUAACAGAGACCAGGCUUCUUAGUUUGCACGACUUUUGAUAACAUCGAGGCCUAUCUCAGUCGGAUCAGUAGCCUGCAGCUCGACUUGUAUGCCAUCCAAUUCUCUCUUGAACCUGUCCUUGGAGCUUGCAUAAAUCAUCUUGUUUCUCACCCUUGCUGUGUCGGGAGACCUAUGAAUACGAAGAACAUAAGCAAAAAUGACACGAAAAAUAGAGAGACGCGUUUUUAGGUCAUAAUAUUACCAUCCGAUGAAGAAAAUCCUGCUUUUCUGACAAUUCUCUGCAGUCACAAAGUCAAAAUCAUAGACAGCAUAUCUGCAUUCAUUAUCAGGAAGGUUUGCAGUAAAGUCUUCGUAGCUUUCAGCUGGCUCACCGAGUUUCUCCACAAUCACCUCAUUUUUCUUCUCGUCAAUCUUGAACACUAUGAAGCGAUAUGUUCUCUUUGCCUUCAAUUCCAGAAACUUCAGCUUGCAGUCAUCAUCCACAGCAAAUCCGGACGCUGCGUUAGCCUGUUCAUAGGAUGAAACAGAAGAUAGAUGUUAUUCUUUCGCAAUUUAUGUCCACAAAACCAACACACACUAGUUUUGAAACAAUAAACAUGUAUUCACUGUCCUACUCGGCCAAAAAAUAAAGCUCAGCAUUUCUCAAGAACACAAUUAAUUAUAUCUAAAAAUAGAUUGAGGAAAAGUAAGCGAGAGAGAGAAGGAACGAAUAAGGGUGAACGAGGGGUACAAAUGUGAAGGGGGUGUAUGGAACGACACACAAAAUGAAAACUGAAAACAAUUUUGAAGUUGUUUUCACUUUCAAGUCUUUGUUUUCACAUAAUCUCCUUCAUUUCUCCCGUCACCCCUCCCACCACCUCCCUUCAUCCUUUCCAUUCCUCAUUUCUCCCACAUACUCUCCGUCUACAUUAGCACAAAAAAUGAAAACUAAAACUGAAAACAAAAUGGUUAUCAAACGGGGCAUAAAGGUUGCAAGCCUCCUUCCCUCCCAUCCGUCCUCCUCCUUUUCCUCUCCCUCUUUCUCUCAUUCUAGAGGUUCUAUCUCACCUAAUUUCUUAAAAAGUAGUACGUCAUGAAUACAUGAUACAACUUGAAUCCCUUCGAUUUAAGCCUGUACUAUGCAGGUUGGCCUAGAGAUUAUAUAUCUAAACCAAAGACCAGCAAUCUGAAACCGAGAAUGUUCAGCAUAAGGCUACUUGAGGUACGUUUCUUCCUUAGUUUACCUUCAGCCCUAGAUUACAGACUGCCCAUUACCGAUUUCCAUACAGUCCGCACUAGUGCUAUACUUGCAAGAAUAAGAUAAACACAAUUCAGCAUCGCAACAUCCGUAAGUAAUCAGAUUGCAUCACUCAAAUUAGUUCUUAUCUGUGAUCAGCCGGUUGACAUUGCUCCAGUACCGAGCACUUGAAUCCCGACUCUCGAUCAAUUAACAGAAAAGAAAACCAAAUGCGGGAGAUUUGACAUUGUGAGAAUCUAAAACAGCUUUCUAAUCAGAUUUAAAUCUCAAUGCAUCCAAAAAAUGACAACCACAUCAACUGUUAGACUAAUGGAAUCGGUGCAACGCAACUCUGUUCAAAUUUCACAAUAAACAGAACCGAUACCAAAAGACAAAAUAUAUAUAAAAAAAACCACAAACCCACCACAAAGAACCAACCCAGAACUCAAAAGAUGAGGACUAUAUCUAUAUGUAUGUGAUCAAAGCUAAUACCUUCGUCUACUGACAACUAAAUGACACAACAAUCAAAACAAAACCCAAAUUCAGAUCCGAUGAUCGAUAACAAUCGAUUGAAACAAGUGCUUCC
rnacentral:lncRNA from 1 species